UUCUGGCUCAGGAUAAACGCUGGCGGCGCACAUAAGACAUGCAAGUCGAACGGACUUAACUCAUCUUUAGAUUGAGAGCGGUUAGUGGCGGACUGGUGAGUAACACGUAAGCAACCUGCCUAUUAGAGGGGAAUAACAACGAGAAAUCGUUGCUAAUACCGCAUAAGCUGAUAGUAUCGCAUGAUACAGUCAGAAAAGGAGUAAUCCGCUAAUAGAUGGGCUUGCGUCUGAUUAGCUAGUUGGUGGGGUAACGGCCUACCAAGGCGACGAUCAGUAGCCGAGCUGAGAGGCUCUACGGCCACAUUGGGACUGAGAUACGGCCCAGACUCCUACGGGAGGCAGCAGUCGGGAAUAUUGCGCAAUGGAGGAAACUCUGAACCGCAGUGACGCCGCGUAUAGGAUGAAGGUUUUCGGAUUGUAAACUAUUGUCGUUAGGGAAGAAAUUUGACAGUACCUAAGGAGGAAGCUCCGGCUAACUAUGUGCCAGCCGCUGC
rnacentral:rRNA from 1 species